AGAGUUUGAUCCUGGCUCAGGACGAACGCUGGCGGCGUGCUUAACACAUGCAAGUCGAACGAGAGCGUAGAGAAAGCUUGCUUUUUCUACAAUCUAGUGGCAAACGGGUGAGUAACGCGUAAACAACCUGCCCUACGGAUGGGGACAACAGCUGGAAACGGCUGCUAAUACCGAAUACGUUCCGAAAGUCGCAUGACUAUCGGAAGAAAGGAUGGCCUCUAUUUAUAAGCUAUCGCCGGAGGAGGGGUUUGCGUCUGAUUAGCUAGUUGGAGGGGUAACGGCCCACCAAGGCGACGAUCAGUAGCCGGUCUGAGAGGAUGAACGGCCACAUUGGAACUGAGACACGGUCCAGACUCCUACGGGAGGCAGCAGUGGGGAAUCUUCCGCAAUGGGCGAAAGCCUGACGGAGCAACGCCGCGUGAGUGAAGAAGGAUUUCGGUUCGUAAAGCUCUGUUGUUAGGGAAGAAUGAUUGUGUAGUAACUAUACACAGUAGAGACGGUACCUAACCAGAAAGCCACGGCUAACUACGUGCCAGCAGCCGCGGUAAUACGUAGGUGGCAAGCGUUGUCCGGAAUUAUUGGGCGUAAAGGGCGCGCAGGCGGCUUCUUAAGUCUGUCUUAAAAGUGCGGGGCUUAACCCCGUGAUGGGAUGGAAACUGGGAAGCUCAGAGUAUCGGAGAGGAAAGCGGAAUUCCUAGUGUAGCGGUGAAAUGCGUAGAUAUUAGGAGGAACACCAGUGGCGAAAGCGGCUUUCUGGACGAAAACUGACGCUGAGGCGCGAAAGCCAGGGGAGCGAACGGGAUUAGAUACCCCGGUAGUCCUGGCCGUAAACGAUGGGUACUAGGUGUAGGAGGUAUCGACCCCUUCUGUGCCGGAGUUAACGCAAUAAGUACCCCGCCUGGGGAGUACGACCGCAAGGUUGAAACUCAAAGGAAUUGACGGGGGCCCGCACAAGCGGUGGAGUAUGUGGUUUAAUUCGACGCAACGCGAAGAACCUUACCAGGUCUUGACAUUGAUGGACGAAACAAGAGAUUGUUUUUCUCCUUCGGGAGCCAGAAAACAGGUGGUGCACGGCUGUCGUCAGCUCGUGUCGUGAGAUGUUGGGUUAAGUCCCGCAACG
rnacentral:rRNA from 1 species